GCCUUCGUGGUGUAGCGGAAGCAUGCUCGACCAGUAUUCGAGAGGACUAGGUUCGAGUCUCGGCAAAGGCA
rnacentral:tRNA from 1 species